UACGAAGGGGGCUAGCGUUGCUCGGAAUGACUGGGCGUAAAGGGCGCGUAGGCGGAUCUGACAGUCAGGCGUGAAAUUCCCGGGCUCAACCUGGGGGCUGCGUUUGAUACGUGAGGUCUGGAGUGCGGAAGAGGGUCGUGGAAUUCCCAGUGUAGAGGUGAAAUUCGUAGAUAUUGGGAAGAACACCGGUGGCGAAGGCGGCGACCUGGUCCGUGACUGACGCUGAGGCGCGAAAGCGUGGGGAGCAAAC
rnacentral:rRNA from 1 species